GACGAACGCUGGCGGCGUGCUUAACACAUGCAAGUCGAGCGGAAAGGCCACUUCGGUGGUACUCGAGCGGCGAACGGGUGAGUAACACGUGAGUAAUCUGCCCCUGGCUUUGGGAUAGCCACCGGAAACGGUGAUUAAUACCGGAUACGACCACUUCUCGCAUGGGAUGGUGGUGGAAAGUUUUUUCGGCCAGGGAUGUGCUCGCGGCCUAUCAGCUUGAUGGUGAGGUAAUGGCUCACCAUGGCUUCGACGGGUAGCCGGCCUGAUAGGGUGACCGGUCGCACUGGGACUGAGACACGGCCCAGACUCCUACGGGAGGCAGCAGUGGGGAAUAUUGGACAAUGGGCGGAAGCCUGAUCCAGCAACGCCGCGUGAGGGAUGACGGCCUUCGGGUUGUAAACCUCUUUCAGCAGGGACGAAGCGCAAGUGACGGUACCUGCAGAAGAAGCACCGGCCAACUACGUGCCAGCAGCCGCAGUAA
rnacentral:rRNA from 1 species